rnacentral:rRNA from 1 species
UUAGUAACGGCGAGUGAAGAGGAAAAAGCUCAAAGUUGUAACCUAUUUGGCUUAGCCAAAUCGGAUUGUAGACUGGAGAAGUGUUUUAUGGCACGCCGAGUGAAAAAGUCCCUUGGAACAGGGCAUCAUAGAGGGUGAGAAUCCCGUGAAUUCACUUGAGUAUAUGUUGUCAACUUUAAUACACUUUCAAAGAGUCAGGUUGUUUGGGAAUGCAGCCUAAAUUGGGUGGUAAAUCUCACCUAAAGCUAAAUAUUGGCGAGAGACCGAUAGCGAACAAGUACCGUGAGGGAAAGAUGAAAAGAACUUUGAAAAGAGAGUUAAACAGUACGUGAAAUUGUUAAAAGGGAACCGUUUGGAGCCAGACCGGCUUUAUCGUAAUCAAUCUAGGUUUCGACCUGGAUGCACUUGCGGUAGAUUUGCCUGCCAACGACAGUUUUUUUUGAGGGAAAAAACUAGGAGGAAUGUGGCCCUUAACUUGUUAGGGGUGUUAUAGCCUUUUAGAAAAUACCUUGAAUUGGACUGAGGAACGCAGCGAAUGCUCUUUAGGGCGAAAUAGUUGAGUGCUUUGGCUGAUAGAUGCUAGAAUUUCUGCUUCGGGUGGUGCUAGUGUUUAAAGGUUAAACUCGCUUGAUUCAUUUUUUAUUCGCUUAGGUUG